GAGGAAACUCUAGUGGCUAAGAAACGAAAGCCACACUAUAUCUUUAUCUUUACCUAAUCUUUGCACGGGGAAACUCUGUAUUUUAGUAUUCAACCCGCAGUCCUUUAUUAAGUGAGAAAAACGUUUCGUUCAGGUUGUUUUUCUAAACGCCCCCUGUAGUUUCCAAUAUUCAACCCUCGGUCCACAAGCAAAAAAUAGAGCACGGGCUCUCCCUCACCUCCCGAUCCCAGCCGCCAGGAGGCGACCGACCCCGGCGACGCUCGAUCCGUUGCCGCGACGCGCGCCGGUCGGCGCCGGCGAGCACAGCACCCUGCACCACCGUUAAGCCUCAGAUCCUCCUCUCCUCCACGCGCGCCCGAGCUCGUCACUGUGCGCCGCCCGGGAGGGCUCGCGGUUCGAUGCAGAACGGCAGCGGACGGAGCUUGCAGGGCCCGGAUCUGCCGGGGGGGUGUGCCGGUGACGCGGAGGAAGGCCAGAGCGCGCUUCCCGGUCGGCUCCAUGGUGGCUCCUGGGCAGAAAUCCAUGGCGCUCCUGGGCAGAAAGGAGAUAGGGAGGUGAGGGAGAAAGAAGGGACAGUGAUGAGCUCCACACAGAAAAGAAUCUCAUACUGCAAAGAUUGAUGGUCAGAUCAAGUGUAUUAAUGAAAUGUGCAACAUGAUGUCUCUUGAUCUUAAGAAGACAUUAUAUGAAGUUCAUCCCAGCUUUGUUGAAUUGGAAAGAAUCAAAUCCAUGAGUAUAAGUGAUAGCACACUUGAUAGGCUUGCAGGAAAAGUUCAUGCACUAAAUCAAGAAAAGAAACAGAGGCUCCGGAAGCUACAAGAUCAUGGAAGCACACUCAUUGAGUUAUGGAGUCUAAUAGACACACCAUUAGAUGAACAGAAAUGCUUUGAUCAUGUUACUUCUUUGAUUUCAGUCUCACAAAAUACAGCGAUGCCCCAAGGAUGCCUUGCACAUGACCUUAUUAAGAAGUAAAUGUCAUGUGAAAUUCCUUUCCCCCAUUGUUUGGGUAGAGGUUGAGGUCAAGAGACUGAAGCAUUUGAAAGCUCGCAAAAUGGAAGAGCUUGUCUUAAAGAAUAUGACUGAGCUUGAAGAAAUCUACAAAAGUGUUCACAUGUAUAUUGACAGCAAUCAUGAGUGGCAGAUUCUCACUGAACUUAUUGAUUCUGGUUCACUUCUUUCCCAUGCUUUUCAUCCUGAAGAUACAUAACUGAAGUUAUUAUAUACAGUUUUGUUUCCAUUAAGAACUACCCGAUGCAUGAUUUAACUGGUGCUCCUUAGUUAUAUAAGGUUGAUGUUUCUGUCUCAUCUUAAAAUUCUGUGAAUUUCUUAGUCAAAUGCAAUGGUAGGUUCUGCAACUGUCUUUCAACUUUGUGCCUUCUAAGUAUCAGCUUGAAUAUUUAGGUAGAUCAAUUUGGAUACAAAAAUUGAAUAAGCUCUUAUGAAAACUAAAAGGGAAAAAAUAUUGCAACUUUGCAAGUCAUUGCAUCUCUCCUUCAGAGGACGAUUGCGCAUUCAUGCUCUAGGAUUUUUUUUUACUGAGCUCAAGGUUGUGAACUAUAUAUUUCCAUUUCUUUGGUAGUGAUAUUUAGUUAAACUGGAGGUCCUAGCUAUAGAACAUCAACAGUGUAAAUUAUAUGCAUUGCUAGAGGGGGAGGGGGGAUUUGGAUAUAUAUCUUGAAUAAAAGCUCUUACGAAAAAUAAAAGGGAAAAAAUAUUGCAAGUCAUUGCGUCUCUCCUUCAGAGGACGAUUGCGCAUUCAUGCUCUAGGAUUUUUAUUACUGAGCUCAAGGUUGUGAACUAUUUAUUUCCAUUUAUUUGGUAGUGAUAUUUGGUUAAACUGGAGAUCCUAGCUAUAGAACAUCAACAGUGUAAAGUAUAUGCAUUGCUGCUCAGAGGUUCUGUAGAUACAUCUUUGCUGAUUUUUCAUCUUUAUCAUGUAUGCUUCAAUUCUUGCAUGCCAAAUAAACAUAAGUUCAUGUUUUAUUGUUUAGUUGUCUCAUGUUCGCUCUUCAUUAUUCUAUAUCAAAGUGAUGUCGUUCAAUGCGUUUGUCCCUUUCUGAUGUAGAAAUUGAUUUCCAUGAGGCAUGAACUCAAGGUGCAACAAUAUCAUUCUUCCUGGUGUUGCAUUAAAUAUACCUCUUAUUUGUUAAAAAAAUCCUCUGGAUUUGGGAUUAGUAUAUUAGGUAGACAUCUUUUGGUUAACGGCAGAUUUGAGCGCAGGGUAGAAUUCUUGGUUGAUUCUAGAAUUUCUUUGUAGAUUAGCUGGCAGAUUAGAACGUCUUUGGCAAGUUCUUUGUUGGUUAGGUCCAGCUCCCUUGGCACUGGACCCAGCAGACGUGUGUGCGUGUGCGGAUCUCCCAUGCAUCCACUGCACCACUUGUUGUUGGGUGGCAGUGGGGUAUCCAAGCGUGUGGAAGGCCUAUCCGCCAUGGCGGCGCAGCUCGACUCCAAGGAGAACAGUUCCAAGGCCCAACUAACAGGCUACCACAAUUCCUAGCCCAAUCGCGGACUGUAAUUAAAUUGCUUUAUUGAUCAAUCUAUCAGUUAAUCAUAGGCUACAA